AUUGAACGCUGGCGGCAGGCCUAACACAUGCAAGUCGAGCGAGCGGCGGACGGGUGAGUAAUGUCUGUGAAACUGCCUGUUGGAGGUGGCUAACUACUGGAAACGGUAGCUCAUACCGCAUACCAUCAGAUGUGCCCAGAUGGGAUUAGCUAGUGGGUGGGGUAAUGGCCCACACAGGCGACGAUCCCUAUCUGGUCUGAGAGGAUGACCAGGCACACUGGAACUGAGACACGGUCCAGACUCCUACGGGAGGCAGCAGUGGGGAAUAUUGCACAAUGGGCGCAAGCCUGAUGCAGCCAUGCCGCGUGUGUGAAGAAGGCCUUCGGGUUGUAAAGCACUUUAAGCGGGGAGGCGUUACCAGCAGAAGAAGCACCGGCUAACUCCGUGCCAGCAGCCGCGGUAAUUC
rnacentral:rRNA from 1 species